rnacentral:rRNA from 1 species
GAGCUUGCUCCCGGAUGUUAGCGGCGGACGGGUGAGUAACACGUGGGUAACCUGCCUGUAAGACUGGGAUAACUCCGGGAAACCGGAGCUAAUACCGGAUAGUUCCUUGAACCGCAUGGUUCAGGGAUGAAAGACGGUUUCGGCUGUCACUUACAGAUGGACCCGCGGCGCAUUAGCU